rnacentral:lncRNA from 13 species
CACCUCUCCUAGCCUCAGGAUCUUCAUGGGUAACAGAUGACGCUCCUCCCAAGAUAUUGGUAUGCGUACAGUAGUGCCCUGGACCGACCCCAUGCAAGCUGUUGCUCUUCAGCCUCCUCUACAAGGUGGUUGGUCUCUUCCCGUGAAACCUCCAGCUCUCUCCAUCUUCCGCACCCCUGAGGCCGCAGUCUCUUCUGUAACGGGGCACGCUCGUCUCCUGCGCUGUUCCCCGAUCGCCACCAGGAGGCGCCCCUUGCUCGCUGAAGCCGGUCGGGCUAAUAACUCCUCGGGGCCGGGGCGGGCUGCCCCUUUGCGCAGGGCGGUGGAGGGUGCGGGCUGCGCCGGGCUCCCCACCUGAGGUCGGUACCUCGAAGCGCCCGCUCGGCCGCGCGCCCCUUGCCCCAGCCCAGCGCCGCUCCCCAACCGGGCGCCUCCAGCUCGGCCCCGGCCCCCGGGCGGCAGCAAGUUUGCCCCCGGCCGCGCGGACCCGCGCCCGCCCCUCGCGCCGCCGCCCCCGCCGUUCACGCAGAUCCACCGUCCCCGCGCCUGGGCUACCCGGCGAGGCUCUAAGGGGCACAGGGGGGCGUGCGGCUGCCCCCGGGGCGCCGGCCGGGCCCCGAAGGGGCGCCCCCCCGGCCGGCCGAGCGCGGGGCCGUCGCAGUUCCCCGGCUGUCCGCCGGGCGGCGCCCCGUGCCUCACCGCGCUCCUCCCGCGCUCCCCGCGCCGGGCUCGCUCGCAGCCGGACACAGACUCUGCCUUCAGCUGCCGGCGGAUCGGGCUGGAGCCGCCGUGGCUGCUGCGGAAGAGAAAAAAACGGCGAGCAGCAGCCCCGCGGCCGGCCCAGCAGCGCCCGGCCCACGGCACAGCCCCCGGAGUGCGGAGCUGCCCAGAGACAUGUCAUGCCCAGGCCAGCAGGGGGCUCCAUGAGGAUUCAUAGAAGAUGCCCCGCGUCUCGGCGCCUUUGGUGCUGCUUCCUGCUUGGCUCGUGAUGGUCGCCUGCAGCCCGCACUCCCUGAGGAUCGCUGCUAUCUUGGACGACCCCAUGGAGUGCAGCAGAGGGGAGCGGCUCUCCAUCACCCUGGCCAAGAACCGCAUCAACCGCGCUCCUGAGAGGCUGGGCAAGGCCAAGGUCGAAGUGGACAUCUUUGAGCUUCUCAGAGACAGCGAGUACGAGACUGCAGAAACCAUGUGUCAGAUCCUCCCCAAGGGGGUGGUCGCUGUCCUCGGGCCAUCGUCCAGCCCAGCCUCCAGCUCCAUCAUCAGCAACAUCUGUGGAGAGAAGGAGGUCCCUCACUUCAAAGUGGCCCCAGAGGAGUUUGUCAAGUUUCAGUUCCAGAGAUUCACAACCCUGAACCUCCACCCCAGCAACACUGACAUCAGCGUGGCUGUAGCUGGGAUCCUGAACUUCUUCAACUGUACCACCGCCUGCCUCAUCUGUGCCAAAGCAGAAUGCCUUUUAAACCUAGAGAAGCUGCUCCGGCAAUUCCUCAUCUCCAAGGACACGCUCUCCGUCCGCAUGCUGGAUGACACCCGGGACCCCACCCCCCUCCUCAAGGAGAUCCGGGAUGACAAGACCGCCACCAUCAUCAUCCAUGCCAACGCCUCCAUGUCCCACACCAUCCUCCUGAAGGCAGCCGAACUUGGGAUGGUGUCAGCCUAUUACACAUACAUCUUCACUAAUCUGGAGUUCUCACUCCAGAGAAUGGACAGCCUUGUGGAUGAUCGUGUCAACAUCCUGGGAUUUUCCAUUUUCAACCAAUCCCAUGCUUUCUUCCAAGAGUUUGCCCAGAGCCUCAACCAGUCCUGGCAGGAGAACUGUGACCAUGUGCCCUUCACUGGGCCUGCGCUCUCGUCGGCCCUGCUGUUUGAUGCGGUCUACGCUGUGGUGACUGCGGUGCAGGAACUGAACCGGAGCCAGGAGAUCGGCGUGAAGCCCCUGUCCUGUGGCUCGGCCCAGAUCUGGCAGCACGGCACCAGCCUCAUGAACUACCUGCGCAUGGUAGAAUUGGAAGGUCUUACCGGCCACAUUGAAUUCAACAGCAAAGGCCAGAGGUCCAACUAUGCCUUGAAAAUCUUACAGUUCACGAGGAAUGGUUUUCGGCAGAUCGGCCAGUGGCACGUGGCAGAGGGCCUCAGCAUGGACAGCCGCCUCUACGCCUCCAACAUCUCAGACACACUCUUCAACACCACCCUGGUCGUCACCACCAUCCUGAAAGCAGAUCUGGCUGUGGCAGGCCUCACCAUUACAGCUGAACGGGAGAAGGUGAUUGAUUUCUCUAAGCCAUUCAUGACUCUGGGAAUUAGCAUUCUUUACCGCGUUCAUAUGGGACGCAAACCCGGCUAUUUCUCCUUCCUGGACCCGUUUUCUCCAGGCGUCUGGCUCUUCAUGCUUCUAGCCUAUCUGGCUGUCAGCUGUGUCCUCUUCCUGGUGGCUCGGUUGACGCCCUACGAGUGGUACAGCCCACACCCAUGUGCCCAGGGCCGGUGCAACCUCCUGGUGAACCAGUACUCCCUGGGCAACAGCCUCUGGUUUCCAGUUGGGGGCUUCAUGCAGCAAGGCUCUACCAUCGCCCCUCGCGCCUUGUCCACCCGCUGUGUCAGUGGAGUCUGGUGGGCAUUCACGCUGAUCAUCAUCUCAUCCUACACGGCCAACCUGGCAGCCUUCCUGACCGUGCAACGCAUGGAUGUGCCCAUUGAGUCAGUGGAUGACCUGGCUGACCAGACCGCCAUUGAGUAUGGCACAAUUCACGGAGGCUCCAGCAUGACCUUCUUCCAAAAUUCCCGCUACCAGACCUACCAACGCAUGUGGAAUUACAUGUAUUCCAAGCAGCCCAGUGUGUUUGUGAAGAGCACAGAGGAGGGAAUCGCCAGGGUGUUGAAUUCCAACUAUGCCUUCCUCCUGGAGUCCACCAUGAACGAGUACUAUCGGCAGCGCAACUGCAACCUCACUCAGAUUGGGGGCCUGCUGGACACCAAGGGCUAUGGGAUUGGCAUGCCAGUCGGCUCGGUUUUCCGGGAUGAGUUUGAUCUGGCCAUUCUCCAGCUGCAGGAGAACAACCGCCUGGAGAUACUGAAGCGAAAAUGGUGGGAAGGAGGGAAGUGCCCCAAGGAGGAAGAUCACAGAGCUAAAGGCCUGGGAAUGGAGAAUAUUGGUGGAAUCUUUGUGGUUCUUAUUUGUGGCUUAAUCGUGGCCAUUUUUAUGGCUAUGUUGGAGUUUUUAUGGACUCUCAGACACUCAGAAGCAACUGAGGUGUCCGUCUGCCAGGAGAUGGUGACCGAGCUGCGCAGCAUCAUCCUGUGUCAGGACAGUAUCCACCCCCGCCGGAGGCGCGCCGGAGUCCCGCCGCCCCGGCCCCCAAUCCCGGAGGAGCGUCGGCCCCGGGGCACCGCGACGCUCAGCAACGGGAAGCUGUGCGGGGCGGGGGAGCCCGACCAGCUCGCGCAGAGACUGGCGCAGGAGGCCGCCCUGGUGGCCCGCGGCUGCACGCACAUCCGCGUGUGCCCCGAGUGCCGCCGCUUCCAGGGCCUGCGGGCACGGCCGUCGCCCGCCCGCAGCGAGGAGAGCCUGGAGUGGGAGAAGACCACCAACAGCAGCGAGCCCGAGUAGCCCCGGCGGCUGCAGGACGCGCGGAGGCCGGCCGGGCGGGAGGGGCGGGGCGGGCGCCGCUGUCCGCCGAGAGCUCGGACUUGUACAGCGUAGACACCUCUCCGGAUUUCGGAUCCAGUCACUUUUUUUCAAAAAGAUCAAAGAGCCUGACGCCCCAGCCAGAGACCGCGCCCGGUCAGGGAGCGGGGUCCACCCGGAGACGUUGCACCCAAGUGGCAAAGGACCCCUCUUCUCCCAGCGGGCCUUUCCCUCUCGCCAAAAUAACGGAGUAUAGGGUGUGGGGUCCCUGGCUAGACCAGUCCAAUGAAUUGGUGGAAUCAUCAGUUGAAUUUCCCCCUAGGAAGGGGCCAAUGUACCCUCCGUCUAGUUCGUUCAGAAAAAAAAAAAAUUAAACUAAACAGGGAAGUUUUCUUUUCUGGAUUUGUAUAUUUUUGUUCAUGUUUUUUUCUUUUUUCUUUCCUCCUCUUUUCUUCUUUGUCAUCUUCUCAGUUCUGUUCAUUUGUUUUGUGGUUUUUGAAGGGGGAGGCUGGGUUAGGGAAUGGAAGUCUAAAUAAUCCCUAUUUCUUCUUUUUCCUGACCUUUGGAAUAUUGAGUCACCAGUGCAUCCGAUUUCAGGUGCUUAACUCUUUUCUGUGUGGUGAGUGAGGGGAACAGGAGAAGGGGUCUUGGGGAGAAUCAGAUGGAGAGCCUCAAAUAAAAGUCCAUUGAAGUAAAUUUUUAGAUGCCA